rnacentral:rRNA from 1 species
GUUAUAGGGUCAAGUGAAUAAGAGCACGUGGUGGAUGCCUUGGCAAUGAUAGGCGACGAAGGACGUGAUAGCCUGCGAUAAGCUUCGGGGAGCUGGCAAAUUAGCUUUGAUCCGGAGAUUUCCGAAUGGGGAAACCCACCUGCAAAGGUAUCGCAUGAUGAAUACAUAGUCAUGCGAGGCGAACCGGGUGAACUGAAACAUCUCAGUAGCUCGAGGAAAAGACAUCAACCGAGAUUCCGAAAGUAGUGGCGAGCGAAAUCGGAGAAGCCUGUUAGUGAUAGCACAAGACAUAACGGAACAGUUUGGAAAGGCUGGCCAUAGCGGGUGAUAGCCCCGUACGUGAAAUGACCUGUGUGGUACUGAGCUAACGACAAGUAGGGCGGGACACGAGAAAUCCUGUCUGAAUAUGGGGGGACCAUCCUCCAAGGCUAAAUACUCAUCAUUGACCGAUAGUGAACUAGUACCGUGAGGGAAAGGCGAAAAGAACCCCGGGAGGGGAGUGAAAUAGAUCCUGAAACCGCGUGCUUACAAAAAGUAGGAGCCCGCAAGGGUGACUGCGUACCUUUUGUAUAAUGGGUCAGCGACUUACAUUCAGUGGCAAGGUUAACCGAAUAGGGAAGCCGUAGAGAAAUCGAGUCCGAAUAGGGCGAUCAGUCGCUGGGUGUAGACCCGAAACCAAGUGAUCUAUCCAUGGCCAGGAUGAAGGUGCCGUAACAGGUACUGGAGGUCCGAACCGACUAGUGUUGCAAAACUAGCGGAUGAGCUGUGGAUAGGGGUGAAAGGCUAAACAAACUUGGAAAUAGCUGGUUCUCUCCGAAAACUAUUUAGGUAGUGCCUCAAGUAUUACCUUCGGGGGUAGAGCACUGUUUUGGCUAGGGGGUCAUGGCGACUUACCAAACCAAGGCAAACUCCGAAUACCGAAGAGUACAGCUUGGGAGACAGAGCACCGGGUGCUAACGUCCGGACUCAAGAGGGAAACAACCCAGACCGCCAGCUAAGGUCCCUAAAAUUGGCUAAGUGGGAAACGAAGUGGGAAGGCUAAAACAGUCAGGAUGUUGGCUUAGAAGCAGCCAUCAUUUAAAGAAAGCGUAAUAGCUCACUGAUCGAGUCGUCCUGCGCGGAAGAUGUAACGGGGCUAAGCCAGUUACCGAAGCUGCGGAUUUGCAAUUUAUUGCAAGUGGUAGGAGAGCGUUCUGUAAGCCUGUGAAGGUGCGUUGUAAAGCGUGCUGGAGGUAUCAGAAGUGCGAAUGCUGACAUGAGUAGCGUUAAAGGGGGUGAAAAGCCCCCUCGCCGUAAGCGCAAGGUUUUCUACGCAACGUUCAUCGGCGUAGAGUGAGUCGGCCCCUAAGGCGAGGCAGAGAUGCGUAGCUGAUGGGAAACAGGUCAAUAUUCCUGUACCGAUUGUUAGUGCGAUGUGGGGACGGAUCUUAAUAGGUCAUCCAGUUAUUGGAUUAUUCUGGUUUAGUUGGAUGUAGGCGUGCAUUAGGCAAAUCCGGUGCACAUAUACCGAGGCCAACGAUCGAGCGGACUUGUCCGUGAAGUGACUGAACGAGGUUCCAGGAAAAGCCACUAAGCUUCAGCUAACAACGACCGUACCGCAAACCGACACUGGUGCGCGAGAUGAGUAUUCUAAGGCGCUUGAGAGAACUCAGGAGAAGGAACUCGGCAAAUUGACACCGUAACUUCGGAAGAAGGUGUGCCCUAUUAGUGUGUAGUGAACAACGAAGCAUGAAUGGGUUGCAAAAAAUCGGUGGCUGCGACUGUUUAUUAAAAACACAGCACUCUGCAAACACGAAAGUGGACGUAUAGGGUGUGACGCCUGCCCGGUGCUGGAAGAUUAAAUGAUGGGGUGCAAGCUCUUGAUUGAAGUCCCAGUAAACGGCGGCCGUAACUAU